rnacentral:misc_RNA from 1 species
GGAAGGAUCAUUAAACGUAUCCACGUAUAACCCAAUGCGAACUCGUUUUCACAACAAACAUGUGAGUGGUGGCGCUUGAGAUAGCGUGAGUGCACAGGUGAGUAGUUUCUUUCGGGAGAUUACUCAGAGCUCUGCUUAUCGAGUCACGUGUCACAUUGUUUCUUUAUCCUGUGAUGUUAUUUCACUUAAACUCUUGUAAUUUCUUGAUGAACUCUGCGUCAGCUUAACGGUUGACGUGAAUAAAAAUGAAACUUAAGCACAACUCUUAACAACGGAUAUCUAGGCUCUCGUAUCGAUGAAGAACGCAGCGAAAUGCGAUACGUAAUGCGAAUUGCAGAAUUCAGUGAAUCAUCAAAUCUUUGAACGCAACUUGCGCUCUUGGGUAUCCCUGAGAGCAUGCCUCUUUGAGUAUCGUUUCAACAAACUCUCAGCUUCGUGCUGGGGAAAAUGAGUGUUUUCUCUAUGCGGCAAGUGUAGAGUCACUUGAAAUGAAGCGACGCUAGUUUGCUUUUCACUUGUUAUCAAUGUCUAUGUACUGAAGUCCUGGGUUCCGCUUAAGGCACUCUUUAAGCUGGGUCUUUGGCACUUCCAACUAGCAUUGAUGUUUGAUACUUGACUUAAUUGUCAUUAUUAAACAUCUACAUCGGUGCUAGGGAGGAGCCGCUCUAUGAAACUGCUUGUCGAAGAGGCUGGAACUAUGUGGAUGCUUAGACAGGGAAGUGAAACAUUAAAUAACACACAGCGCGUUUACAUUUAAACCACAGAAGACUUCGGUUUUCUGAAUUUUGAUCUCAAAUGAAGCAAGAGAACCCGCCGAAUUUAAGCAUAUUAUUAAGCGGAGGAAAAGAAACUAACAAGGAUUCCCCUAGUAACGGCGAGUGAAGCGGGAAAAGCUCAAAGUUAAAAUCGGGGCACCUAGCGGUGUUCUCGAAUUGUAAUCUGUAGACGCGUUUCCAGUCUCGACCCGGGUAUAAAUCUUUUGAAACAAGGUAUCAUAGAGGGUGAGAAUCCCGUCUUUGACCUGGAGUUCGGGGUGUACGGAGCGCGCUCAAAGAGUCGAAUAGCUUGGGAAUGCUGUUCUAAAUGGGUGGUAAAUUUCAUCUAAAGCUAAAUAUCGACGAGAGACCGAUAGCGAACAAGUACCGUGAGGGAAAGAUGAAAAGAACUUUGAAAAGAGAGUUAAAAAGUACUUGAAAUUGUUAAGAAGGAAGCUCUGGAAACCAGUUGUGCCUGGCUUUAUAUUUGCUUUACGUGCGUUAGAGGGCAAGCCCGUAUCUUAUCGAGCGGGUCACACUUCAAAGCGUGCGUGAGGACACUGUAAAGUUGGGUGAGUCAGGAUCAAGUAGUUUUGAAAGAGAAAGUUGGCGGAGGGUAGUCCUCUACUUCGGUAGAGGAAACGUAUAGCCGUUAACCAUAUUUCGAAGCUGCUUGAGGUACCACGAUAAUGCGUUCCGCAAGGCUGCUGGUGGAUCUCCCUGGGUUUUUGCAGAUUUGAACGACAAAGUCGUGUAGAGUCUGCAAGGAUUUACUGGGGGUCUUCUAGUCCACGCAUUCGCGAUCUUGACGAAAUGGUUUUCAUAGACCCGUCUUGAAACACGGACCAAGGAGUCUAACAUAUAUGCGAGUAUUUGGGCUUGAAAACCCUGAUGCGCAAUGAAAGUGAAGGUAGUCUUGUACUACUGAGGUAGGAACCGCAAGGGGCACUAUCGACCGAUCGUUCAUUCAUGAAAGAUUUGAGUAAGAGCAUAUCUGUUGGGACCCGAAAGAUGGUGAACUAUGCCUGAUCAGGGUGAAGCCAGGGGAAACUCUGGUGGAGGCUCGUAGCGAUACUGACGUGCAAAUCGUUCGUCUGAAUUGGGUAUAGGGGCGAAAGACUAAUCGAACUAUCUAGUAGCUGGUUCCCGC